AUGGCCUUAUUCUAUCAUGUCCACCGUUUUUGUCAAACUUGGAUAAUCAGUCUCUUCUACCACGGUUAGGAAUAAUCCUUCACUCGCAUUCCAGAUCCCAUUUUUUAACUUUAAACUAACAUUCCUACUACCUUCUUCCUCAACAUAACAAACGUAGUUAUAAGUACAUCCAAUAGCAUCAAAACGCAUCACGAUAUCGAAACUUUGCAGCAGCAUCAGCAAAAACACCACCACCACAUGAAGGAAUAAUCCGACAAAAUAAUUAAGUUUCGGACCGAGACAGGUUCGACGCGAGCCGUUUCGACCCGUAACGUUUCGACGCGUACCAUUUCAUCCAGUAUCGUUUGUCCGUUUCGACGCGAACAGUAAAAUAAGCAGGAAUCCAUCCAUCUCCACCCACCAGAUGUAUGUUCGACCCGAACUGUUUCUGUAAAAUGACAAUUUAAUUUUAUCCAUCUUCAAACCCUAUCAGCCAUCUUCCAUGCAGCAACAACAUCAUCCAUCUUCAAACUCCCAGCCAUGAUCCAACCGGAACCCUCAUAAGACGUCUUCAAACGCCCACACAAAAGGAAGCUGCUUGGACU
rnacentral:lncRNA from 1 species